rnacentral:lncRNA from 1 species
AAAAUUGUAGCAAGAGCAUAUCCUAUGGAAGAUGCUAAAUUAGGAACCUUAUUUCACUUUAAUUUAUAUACCCUUUAAUCAAAAAGUCACCACACAACCUACUUAAGUCAUCAUUCCUUUCUAUUCAUGUCAUUAAAACCAACAAGAAAAAUCCUAUAACAACCAAACCAAGCUACCAUUUCAAACCCUCUUUCAUUUUCACUCCAUCUCAAACAUGUAACAUUACUUAUACACCUCUAUCCUUUAUGGAACCACAUGGGAUAGAGGAGAAGUGGAUGGUGUGUGUAAUGGUUUCCAAUUUUCAUGCUCCUUUUCUUUCAAGAUUAUAAGCAAUAUGUUAAUGAUUGCUGGGAAUGAACCUUCUUUGUUGAUGGGAUUUUCUCUUUGGAAAGGGCAACUUCGAUCCUUUGGCAUUUUUCAAUUCCUUCAUCACAAUUCACACUCUUGUGAUUUGAUGGAGCUUUCAUAUGGCAACACCCCUAUUAUGUAAUAAGUAUUGUACUCUCUUCUUUUCUUAUAGUACCCUUUUUUGUUUGUGUGUUGUUGUGUGACUUCAAUUUUCAAUUGCAAGCUAUGUUUGUAUAAUAUGCCUACUAUAGACUAUAGAAGGUAUAUCCAAUAAAUGUACGUUUCUAUAUGCCACUGGCCAUAUAUUCUAUUGUUGUUGUUUAAUAUUAACCAAUGUGUAUCUAGAUCUCUAAGCAUGUUUUCUUUGCUUUUUUUUUUGUUUGUUUGUUGCAUUUUACAUAACUACGUAGUUAUUUACUCUAUACUACCAUGGAUAUGAAUCUUCAGCAAGUGUACGGAUACGGACGUUACAAAGUCAUUUGAGUGAGAUUGAUCAAUCUCACAUCAAAUGACUAUGGGAUGACUGUAUUAGUCACAUUCUAUAUUGGAUAGAAUAUUAACCAAUGUGUAUCUAGAUUUCUUAACAUGUUAUUUUUGCUUCUUCUUCUUCUUUUGUUUUUUUUUGUUUUUGUUUUGCAUUUUACGUACUUAUUUACUCUAUACUACCGUGGAUAUGGAUCUUCAACAACGGUUGUACCGACACAGUCAUUAUAAAGUCAUUUGAUGUGAGACAAACAAACUCAUCAAAUAACUUUGUGAUAACCGUAGUAGUCACGUUCUAUAUUGGACAGAAUAUAUAACAAAACAUAUGAAUCUUAUGAAUUUAAAGUGCCCACUAUGUAAUGUGGUCAAACAUGUUCUGUUACCUCUUUAGGAAACAGCUAGCAUCGUCCCUUCUUCCAUCGGUGCUUCAUGUUUCUAACUUUCUCCUCCAUGCUCAGCGGAAGAUCAUUUGAAGAUUUGUUUUUUAUUAAGUUGGGAGAACUUCUCUUUUCUUUUUCUUUUUUUUCCUUUUAAUAUAUGUUCGAAAUAAAAUCCAUUUCAGGUUGGUCUACGGGUUGGUUUGGGAUCUUGUAGUGUACUCUUCUUGAGGUUGAUUCCUUUUGGUGCCAAUUAUGGUGGAUAAGUUCAUGCAGAACUUUGUUCGGGUUUUAAACGGGCCCCCGCAAGUGGACGGUGGGAUUGGUCCCCUCAGAUUAGUCGAUCUUUGGAUCGGAUAUCGAGUUUUCAAUAUAUAUAUUUGUGUGUGUGUUCGAAAAAAGAUGAUCAAGUCACUUAAGUGUCUGCACUAGAUUGUAGAUCGUACUCCCUCCGGUCCUAUUUAUAAGAGAAUUUUGGGUCAACAAAAGUUGAUGUAUCUAGUUAAAAAUUCAGUCCAAAUACAUUCACUUUUGUUGACCUAAAUUUCUCUUAUAAAUAGGACCGGAGGUAGUAUUAUGUUUUUAUAUUAGAGAUAACUCAUCCUUAUAAAAUUAAUUUUUAAGAUGAGGGUGUCGCAUUUUAUAAACUCAUACUCCAAGGCUAUUGAAUUUGGUGUGCGGAUAGUCGGAUAUAUAAAUGAUAGAUGGUCUGAUAGAUAUACUAUCAUAUUAUAUUUUUAUAUUGAAUCUAACUCAUCUUAUCUUAUGAAUAUAUCUCACCUGAAAGGUAAAGAGUGUUAAUCCAAUCUUUAUAAACAAUGAGCAUAUUAUCUUUAUUCUUGGUUGGACAAGGCCACUUGGGUUUUCCCCAAUAGGUUGACAUGUUAGCUGCAUUUGAUAUUCAAUUCAUUAGUCAAUUUUUAAGUCAAUGAUAACAACUUUUGUUGAUUGGUCAGGUUCUGGUGGUAAUUGCAAAUUUCUGCAGUAGCUAUUGGUUGAUACUGAUUCAAAACACAAACUAUAUAUAUUUCAUUAAUCAUUAGUAAUAAUGAGGGAAAGUGGUCCCAUGUAAUUUCAGCGACUCUGCAGUUGCGUCCAAAACUUUAAUCUAUAGUCUAACUGAAAUUUGAGAAUAACAUUGUGUUUGCUAUGCAAUUUUUAAAGGAAAUGUUAAAGAGUGUUUUUAGGGUAUUCGUUAAGAAGAUAGAAAUAAAAAUUUUGUAUUGAAAAAUGAUGAAUUUGACUUUUCAAAAGUUAAAAUAUAGUUGAAUUCAAUGUAAACCU